UACAGAGGUCUCAAGCGUUGUUCGGAUUCAUUGGGCGUAAAGGGUGCGUAGGUGGCGCCGUAAGUCGGGUGUGAAAUUUCGGAGCUUAACUCCGAAACUGCAUUCGAUACUGCGGUGCUUGAGGACUGGAGAGGAGACUGGAAUUCAUGGUGUAGCAGUGAAAUGCGUAGAGAUCAUGAGGAAGACCAGUGGCGAAGGCGGGUCUCUGGGCCGAUAUUGACGCUGAGGAGCGAAAGCGUGGGGAGCGAACAGG
rnacentral:rRNA from 1 species